UGAGGAAUAUUGGACAAUGGGCGCAAGCCUGAUCCAGCCAUGCCGCGUGAAGGAAGAAGCAUCUAUGGUGCGUAAACUGCUUUAGUAAGGGAAGAAACACUCCUUCGUGAAGGAGUUUGACGGUACCGUAAGAAAAAGGAUCGGCUAACUCCGUGCCAGCAGCCGCGGUAAUACGGAGGAUCCAAGCGUUAUCCGGAAUCAUUGGGUUUAAAGGGUCCGUAGGCGGUUUAGUAAGUCAGUGGUGAAAGCCCAUCGCUCAACGAUGGAACGGCCAUUGAUACUGCUAGACUUGAAUUAUUAGGAAGUAACUGGAAUAUGUAGUGUAGCGGUGAAAUGCUUAGAUAUUACAUGGAAUACCAAUUGCGAAGGCAGGUUACUACUAAUGGAUUGACGCUGAUGGACGAAAGCGUGGGGAGCGAACA
rnacentral:rRNA from 1 species